rnacentral:rRNA from 1 species
GACAGAGGUCCCGAGCGUUAGGCGGAAUCACUGGGCUUAAAGCGUGUGUAGGCGGCGGCCUAAGUACCUUGUGAAAUCCCACGGCUCACCCGUGGAACUGCUCGGUAUACUGGGUCGCUUGAGCCACUUAGGGGCUACCGGAACAAAUGGUGGAGCGGUGAAAUGCGUAGAUAUCAAUUGGAACGCCAAUGGUGAAAACAGGUAGCUGGGAGUGUGCUGACGCUGAGACACGAAAGCCAGGGGAGCAAACGGG